rnacentral:rRNA from 1 species
AACGGCGAAGUGAAGCGGCAAAAGCUCAAAUUUGAAAUCUGGCUCCUUUGGGGCCGGAGUUGUAAUUUGCAGAGGAUGCUUCGGGCGUGGCCGCGGUCUAAGUCCCSUGGAACGGGGCGUCGCAGAGGGUGAGAAUCCCGUCUUCGGCCGGCCGGCUUCGCCCAUGUGAAGCUCCUUCGACGAGUCGAGUUGUUUGGGAAUGCAGCUCUAAAUGGGUGGUAAAUUUCAUCUAAAGCUAAAUAUUGGUCGGAGACCGAUAGCGCACAAGUAGAGUGAUCGAAAGAUGAAAAGCACUUUGAAAAGAGAGUUAAACAGCAUGUGAAAUUGUUGAAAGGGAAGCGCUUGCGACCAGAGUCGGCCGUGGGGGUUCAGCGGGCAUUCGUUGCCCGUGCACUCCCCCACGGGCGGGCCAGCGUCGGUUUCGACGGCCGGUCAAAGGCCCCCGGAAUGUGUCGCCUCUCGGGGCGUCUUAUAGCCGGGGGUGCAAUGCGGCCAGUCGGGACCGAGGAACGCGCUUCGGCACGGACGCUGGCUUAAUGGUCGUAAGCGACCCGUCUUGAAACACGGACCAAGGAGUCUAACAUCCACGCGAGUGUUCGGGUGUCAAACCCGUCCGCGCAGUGAAAGCGAACGGAGGUGGGAACCCUUAAGGGUGCACCAUCGACCGAUCCUGAAGUCUUCGGAUGGAUUUGAGUAAGAGCGUGGCUGUUGGGACCCGAAAGAUGGUGAACUAUGCCUGAAUAGGGUGAAGCCAGAGGAAACUCUGGUGGAGGCUCGCAGCGGUUUCUGACGUGCAAAUCGAUUCGUCGAAUUU